CAUCGUCGUCGUCGUGGUCGUCGUCGUAGCCGUCGCCGCCAGCCAACUAAAUAAAUAAAAACUCAUGCCUAGUGCCAGUUCCCAGUUUUCCCAGUUUCAGUCCCGACAGUUCAGACGCUUCAUGGAUAAUAUACUUAAACUAGUUGGGAAUUGCAAGCGUAAAGCAACGCUAAAAAUAAGACGAGCAAGUUGGACUCCGAUUUCUGCGCGUAUUUGCAGUUACAAAUUUGCUCGUACUUUAAGACGAUUUACAUUUGACUAAACGCUUAAAUUCUGGUCUUUUUCGCUGAGUGUGUGCAGCGACAGAGUCGCCAACGACGACGUCUUUGGCUUUGGGCAGUUGCCUUCAGUUGCCGUCUCAAAUAUCAUAAAAACAAGUCAAUACAACGCGCUAAUGAAACCAAA